GUACUAGCUAUGGCAGUACAUAUUCUAAGAUUGGAAUGAUACAGAAGAUUAGCAUGGCUCCUGUACAAGGACGACAGGCAAAUUUGUGAAGCAUUCUAUAUUUCA